rnacentral:lncRNA from 1 species
CAAUCAUGCUAUUACCUCGAAAUUACCAUUCAUGAAUCAAUGAAUUAUUUGUCAUGUUAAUAUAACAUCAAGAAAUGGAUGCCUUACCAACCAACAAGGAAAUCUAAAAGCUCCAGAUGAUUUUCAAUAUACUGCAUGCAGAAAUAAGUUUCAUCAGCCUUCUGCCUAAGCAAAAUGCACCAACAGUGAACAAGAUCUUUUCAUACCUAUAACCACA